GGUGUGCAAGAAUUUUCAAACCAGUUGAAAAUUUAAAAUAUGCAGAUUUUCAGAUCACACUCUGAGAAAUGUGAUUCAGUGAGUCCUGGGAAGAGGCCCACACUCUUCUUUUAAAGACUCCCCAGGUGAUUUUGAUGGGAUAUAAUGACAUAGUAGUUAUAAGCCUCGCAGGGCAUUUUCUGCCCAAACCUACCUAUGGAGCUUUGCUGCCCUUUUAGUUCUCAUCACAGCAGAAGGGAAGUUGGGAAGGACCUAAAGGAUCAGGGUUUUAGACCUGGCCCUGCUGCCAACCAACUGUUUGAUUUUGGACAGUCACAUGCCCUGUUUGGAUUUUAAUUCUUUGUAUGUCACAGUUGGAGGGUGGACAAGAUGACACCUGAGAUUGCCUCAAGCUUUAACAUUCAACAAUUCUGCUGGGCAGUGAUGGCACUUCGGCUAUCAGGUCUUGAUACAUUCAGGAAUUGAAGCUUAGAAGUCUGUACUAGUUGUUAGCGCUGCAAUAAGAAAGUAAUACAGGCCAGGGGCAGUGGCUCACACUGGUAAUCCCAACAAUUUUGGAGGCCGAGGUGGGUGGAUCGCCUGAGGUCAGGAGUUCGAGACCAGCCUGGCCAACAUGGUUUGAGACCAGCCUGGCCAACAUGGUGAAACCCCAUCUCUACUAAAAACACAAAACUUAGCCUGGUGUGGUGGCGUGUGUCUGCAGUCCCAGCUACUUGGGAGACUGAGGCAGGAGAAUCACUUGAACCCGGGAGGCGGAGGUUGCAGUGAGCUGAGAUGGCGCCAUUGCACUCCAGCCUGGGCAACAAGAGCGAAACUCCAUCUCAGAAAAAAACAACAACACUGCAAGCUGGGGGCUUAAACAACAGAAACUUAUUGUCUUAAGGUCCAAAGUCAAGGUGUUGGCAGAGUUGGUUCCUUCUGAGGGCUGGGAGGGAGCAUCUGUUCCACGCUGCUCUGGUACCUUCUGGUAGAUUGCUGGCAAGCUUUGACGUUCCUUGGCUAGCAGGAGAAUCCUCCUGAUCUCUAUCUUCAUCUUCACAUGGCGUUCUCCUUGUGUGCAUGUCUGCAUGCAAAUGGCCCUUUUUUAUAAGGACACCAGUCAUAUUGGAUGACAGGCCUACCCUAUCCCAGUACGACCCCGCCUUCACUAAUUUACAUCUGCAACAACCCUCUCUCCAAAUAAGGUCACAUUCUGAGGUACCAGGGGUGAGGGCUUCAACACAGAAAUUUGGGGGGGGACUCAGUCCAACACAUAACAAAGUCCAAGUGAGAAACAGCACUAAGAUAGACUGAAGUCACUUGAAACCGAGCUAAGUUUCUGCAUCAGUCGGGAAUACAGUCAUGCACUGCAUAACAGUGUUUUGGGCAAUGAUGGAUUGCAUAAACAAUGGUGGGUCCACAAGAUUAUAAUGGAGCUGAAAACCUCCUAUCACCUAGUGAUGUCAUAGCCAUCCUCAUGUCAUAGUACAAUGCAUUACUCACGUGUGUGUGGCGAUGCUGGUGUGAACAAACUACUGUGCUGACAGUCACAUACAAGUAGAGGACAUGCAAUUAUGUACAGCACAUAAUGCUUGAUAAUGACAAUAAAUUACUGUCACUGGUUUGUGUAUUUACUAGUCUAUACUUUUUAGUCAUUAUUUUGGAGUGUAUUCUUUCCAUCUAUAAAAAGUUAAUUGUAAAAUAGCCUCAGGCAGGUCCUUCAGGAGGGAUUCCAGAAGAAGACAUUGUUAUCAUAGGAGAUGACAGCUCUGUGUAUGUUACUGCCCCUGAAAACCUUCCAGUGGAGGGGAGGUGGAAGACAGUGAUGUGGAUGAUUCUGACCUUGUGUGGGCCUAGGCUAAUGUGUGUGUUUGUGUUUUACUUUUUAACCAAAAAUAAAUUUUAAGUAAAAAAAUAAAAACAAAAAAAAUUUAAAUAGAAGAAAUCAUAUAGAAUAAGGAUGUAAAGAAAAAACAUUUUUGGGUAGCUAUGCAAUGUGUUUGUGUGUUUUUCUUUUGAUUUUUUCUUUUUUAGACAGGGUCUUAUUCUGUCUUCCAGGCUAAAGCACAGUAGUUGCAACAUAGCUCACUGCAGCCUCAAACUCCUGGGCUGAAGCAAUCCUCCUGCCUCAGCCUCCUGAGUAUCUAGGGCCAUAAGUGCAUGCCACCACACCUGGCUAAACUUAUUUAUUUAUUUUAAGACAGAGUCUUGAUCUGUCACCCAGGCUGGAGUGCAAUGGUGCAAUCUCAGGUCACUGCAACCUCCGCCUCCUGGGUUCAAGUGAUUCUCCUGCCUCAGCCUCCUGAGUAGCUGGGAUUACAGGUGGGUGUUAUCAUGCCCAGCUAAUUGUUUGGUAUUUUUAGUACAGAUAGGGUUUAACCAUGUUGGUCAGGCUGGUCUGAAACUCCUGACUUCAGGUGAUCCACCUGCCUCAGCCUCCCAAAGUGCUGAGAUUACAGGCAUCAGCCACCAUUUCUGGCCUAAACUUUUUUAUUUUUUUGUAGAGACAGGGACUUGGUAUGUUGCUCAGGCUGGUCUAGAACUCCUGGGCUCAAGCAGUCCUCCCACCUCAGCCUCCCAAAGUGUUGAGAUUACAGGCAUGAGACACUGUACCUAGCUGUGUUUGUGUUUUAAGCUAAGUAUUAUUACAACAGUCAGAAAGUUUUAAAAAGGUAAAAAGUUUAUAAAGUAAAAAAGUUCUGGUAAGCUAAGGUGAACUCAUUGAAAACAGAACAAUUUUUAAAAAGAAAUCAAGUGUAGCCUCAAUGUGCAAUGUGUAUAACGUCUGCAGUAGUGCACACGAAUGUACCAAGUGUUCACAUUCACUCCCCACUCACUGACUCACCUAGAGCAACUUCCAUCCUGCAAGCUCCAUUCAUUGUAAGGGCCCUAUACAGGUGGACCACUUUUUACCGUUUAUACCAUAUUUUUUUCUGUACCUUUUCUAUGUCUCAGUAUGUUUAGGUGCACAAAUACAUCCCAUUGUGUCACAGUUGCCUACAGUAUUCAGCACAGUAGCCUGCUGUAGAGGUUUGUAGCCUAGGAGCAAUAGGAUCUACCAUACAGCCUAGGUGUGUAGGUAAGUACAUUCCAUGGUACAUUCCACCAACAAAAUCACCCAACAGUGCAUUUCUCAGAAUGCAUCCCCGUCACUCAGUGACACAUGACUGUAUUUGUUGCAAUUAACAGAAUCCACUCAUGCUUGUUUAUAGUUUAUGCUGGAAAGAAACGUAUGAAAGGAUCCUCGCUAACUCCACAGGGGCCACUGGGUCAGGAAGGACGUUAAUUACAAUGAGGCAUUGUUCUGUUGAAGCAGAGAACUACUGCCCCCAACCUCCGGCCCCAUGCAAGGGACCUCCGCUGUCCCCCACCCCAGGAACCAGCACCUGCAGUGCCUGCUGCCUGACAUCAUCUUCCCCUCGCCGAGUCUCACAUGGGUGUGACUCAUACGUUCAUGAAGAGAUAAUUUGGAAAAAGUACACCAAAAUGGAAAAUGUGCAUACUCUUUGACUCAGCAAUUCUACUCCUAUGAAGUUUUUUCCUAAGGAAAUAAUUCAGUGAGUGCCUAGAGAGUAUAUUUAUAAAUAUGUUUGUUCAUCAGAGUAUUGCUUAUAUA
rnacentral:lncRNA from 1 species